rnacentral:rRNA from 1 species
CAGAGACUGCAAGCGUUAGUUCGGAUUCACUGGGCGUAAAGGGUGCGCAGGCGGUUGGGUGUGUCAGAUGUGAAAUCCCGAGGCUCAACCUCGGAACUGCGUCUGAAACUACUCGACUAGAGUACUGGAGAGGGUAACGGAAUUCACGGUGUAGCAGUGAAAUGCGUAGAUAUCGUGAGGAACACCAGAGGCGAAGGCGGUUACCUGGACAGUUACUGACGCUCAGGCACGAAAGCAUGGGGAGCAAAAGGGAUUAGAUACCCCUGUAGUCCAUGCCCUAAACGGUGCACACUAGGUCUUAGCGGAUUCGACCCCACUAGGGCCCAAGCUAACGCGUUAAGUGUGCCGCCUGAGGACUACGGUCGCAAGACUA